GUGAGGGAAUGGUUUUUCGAUUGACAUAAUUUCAGUUUUAUAAUUCUAUAAAAAGAAAAGAAAAACGAUAAAAAUGCAAGAACCCUUAAUCUCUAAACUCUUCCUUCCAGU
rnacentral:pre_miRNA from 1 species